rnacentral:rRNA from 1 species
CCUACGGUGGGCUGCAGUGGGGAAUAUUGCACAAUGGGGGCAACCCUGAUGCAGCGACGCCGCGUGAGUGAAGACGUAUCUCGGUACGUAAAGCUCUAUCAGCAGGAAAGAAAAUGACGGUACCUGACUAAGAAGCCCCGGCUAACUACGUGCCAGCAGCCGCGGUAAUACGUAGGGGGCAAGCGUUAUCCGGCUUUACUGGGUGUAAAGGGAGCGUAGACGGCGCUGCAAGUCCGGAGUGAAAGCCCAUGGCUUAACCAUGGUAAUGCACUGGAAACUGUAAGGCUUGAGUGCGGGAGGGGCAGGCGGAAUUCCUGGUGUAGCGGUGAAAUGCGUAGAUAUUAGGAGGAACACCGGCGGCGAAGGCAGCCUGCUAAACCGUAACUGACGUUGAGGCUCGAAAGCGUGGGGAGCAAACAGGAUUAGAUACCCGUGUAGUC